AGAGUUUGAUCAUGGCUCAGAACGAACGCUGGCGGCAUGCCUAACACAUGCAAGUCGAACGCCUGUAGCAAUACAGGAGUGGCGCACGGGUGAGUAACGCGUGGGAACCUGCCCUGGAGUGGGGGAUAACCGAGAGAAAUUUCGGCUAAUACCGCAUACGACCUGAGGGUGAAAGAUUUAUCGCUCUAGGAGGGGCCCGCGUCGGAUUAGCUAGUUGGUGGGGUAAUGGCCUACCAAGGCUACGAUCCGUAGCUGGUCUGAGAGGAUGAUCAGCCACACUGGGACUGAGACACGGCCCAGACUCCUACGGGAGGCAGCAGUGGGGAAUAUUGGACAAUGGGGGCAACCCUGAUCCAGCAAUGCCGCGUGAGUGAUGAAGGCCUUAGGGUUGUAAAGCUCUUUCGGCGGGGACGAUGAUGACGGUACCCGCAGAAGAAGCCCCGGCUAACUUCGUGCCAGCAGCCGCGGUAAUACGAAGGGGGCGAGCGUUGUUCGGAAUUACUGGGCGUAAAGGGCGCGCAGGCGGCUCUGAAAGUCAGAUGUGAAAGCCCCGGGCUUAACCUGGGAAUUGCAUUUGAUACUCUAGAGCUUGAGUACGGGAGAGGAGAGUGGAAUUCCCAGUGUAGAGGUGAAAUUCGUAGAUAUUGGGAAGAACACCGGUGGCGAAGGCGGCUCUCUGGACCGUAACUGACGCUGAGGCGCGAAAGCGUGGGGAGCAAACAGGAUUAGAUACCCUAGUAGUCC
rnacentral:rRNA from 1 species